UAGAACUUUCUGCGGAUCAGUUUGAUUAACUUUCAACUUCAUCCAUUACAGGUGCAGCAGAGGCCUUUGGUAAAGCCAAGAAACUACUACAGCCUCAAGUAAAGAAAAGGCAAUUUCCAUUGAAUGAUAAACGUUUGGACCAUGGCAAAUCAUUAUUGAAGGUCAGAAUGGCUCCCAUGGAGUGGAAACCAAGAACUCCGAGAAGGUGUGGACGGUACCAGAAGUUAAUAAUGGACGAAGCUCCACCUCGAAUCAUCCUGCAAGGCCAUGAAACCUAUGAUGAUUUAAUUACCAUAGCCAAAGAACGCUUCUGGCCAGAGCGUACUGAGGGGAGUGAGUUCACUCUUUGUCAUUCUGACGGGACCAGGUGGAGUAAGGAGGAUUUCCA